GUCCAGACAUAGCAAGGAUUGAUAGACUAAGAGCUCUUUCUUGAUUCUAUUUAUGGUGGUGCAUGGCCGUUCUUAGUUGGUGGAGCGAUUUGUCUGGUUAAUUCCAUUCAUGAAUGAGACCUCAGCCUACUAACUAGCUACGCGGAGCCAUCCCUCCGCAGCUAGCUUCUUAGAGGGACUAUAGACUCAUUAGGUGGGUUCUCUUGCUACAAGAAUUUGACUUACAUAUCACUGAUAAGAAAGGAGCUGAGAACCCCAUAGCUGAU
rnacentral:ncRNA from 1 species